UACGGGAGGCAGCAGUGGGGAAUAUUGGACAAUGGGCGAAAGCCUGAUCCAGCAAUGCCGCGUGAGUGAUGAAGGCCUUAGGGUUGUAAAGCUCUUUUACCCGGGAUGAUAAUGACAGUACCGGGAGAAUAAGCUCCGGCUAACCCCGUGCCAGCAGCCGCGGUAA
rnacentral:rRNA from 1 species